GGGCUUGUGGCUCAGUGGUAGAGCGCCCCCUUAGCAUCUCGCUUCGAGCGAGCGCGAAUGGGGGAGGUCCAGUGUUCAAUUCGCUGUUAGUCCA
rnacentral:tRNA from 1 species